UAGGGAAUCUUCCACAAUGGACGAAGGUCUGAUGGAGCAACGCCGCGUGAGUGAAGAAGGGUUUCGGCUCGUAAAACUCUGUUGUUAAAGAAGAACAUAUCUGAGAGUAACUGUUCAGGUAUUGACGGUAUUUAACCAGAAAGCCAGGCUAACUACGUGCCAC
rnacentral:rRNA from 1 species